rnacentral:rRNA from 1 species
CGCGGACGGGUGAGUAACACGUGGAUAACCUACCUAUAAGACUGGGAUAACUUCGGGAAACCGGAGCUAAUACCGGAUAAUAUAUUGAACCGCAUGGUUCAAUGGUGAAAGACGGUUUUGCUGUCACUUAUAGAUGGAUCCGCGCCGCAUUAGCUAGUUGGUAAGGUAACGGCUUACCAAGGUAACGAUGCGUAGCCGACCUGAGAGGGUGAUCGGCCACACUGGAACUGAGACACGGUCCAGACUCCUACGGGAGGCAGCAGAA